GCCGGAGUGGCGGAAUUGGUAGACGCCGAGGACUUAAAAUCCUCUGAGAAGAGAUUCUCGUACCGGUUCGAGUCCGGUCUUCGGUACCA
rnacentral:tRNA from 1 species